rnacentral:ncRNA from 1 species
UAAUGGUCUGAACUGACCCCUUGCCAAAGGAUUGCGUACCCAGAAUUGUUGCACGACGAUGAUCUUGAAGCGCGCCGGCAACAAUUUCCGAAGCACUCGCCGAACCACCAUUAAUAAGCACAAUCAAGGGUUUACCAUUUGUAAUAUCACCUGAUUUGGCGUCAAACCGCAUUACUUCCGCCUGAUCUCGGCCUCGUGUUGAUACGAUUUCGCCCUUAUCGAGGAAAGCAUCUGAUACACUGACCGCCUGGUCAAGAAGACCACCGGGAUUCAACCGUA